GACAAGAGGCAGACCAGGGGUUCUGGUCCUUCUGACUCCCAGCUGUAAGAUGGGAGCACACAGGAGGCAAUGAACUCUCUCUCUCAGGGACAACCAAGAUCAGGAUUUUUUUUACCACUUUGGCACAGUGCCCCCAAGAUCCUGCAAGUGUUCUUAGCCCUCUCUGGGAUUAGAAAAUGGCAUGUGUGACCCUGGCUGAGAAGAACAGGGGGCAUCUAGUAAUCCAUUCCACUCUUUUCAGCUUUCAACACUUCUCAAUUUAAUGGUGAUAUCUUGACUGGUCCCAUGAUUUGUUGACUUGAAUUCGUGGAUAAUCUACUGAGCCGAGCCUGUCGCAUUUAGUAAGAUAUUCCUCCAGAAAAGGCUCUGUGCUGCUUAUGCAUGCUCAUUACCGCUUAUCUGACUGGUGCUGCUACUGCUCCAGAUGUGGCCAUUGACUUGGAUGAAGAAAAAUCAUAUGACAGUAACAAGACUUCACAAAACAAUGCAGGGAAUGUCCAACACUUGUUGACCUGCAUAGAAGGAGUGCAGUAUUGGAAGAAACAGUUAGAAAAUACGUGGGCAACAC